ensembl:rRNA 5S_rRNA 5S ribosomal RNA
GUUGAUAGCCAUACCACCCUGAAUGCACCUGAUCUCAUCUCAUCUUGGAAGCUAAGCAGGGUUGGGCCUGGUUAGUACUUGAUGGGAGGAUUGUCUGUUAUCAGCU